GACGAACGCUGGCGGCGUGCUUAACACAUGCAAGUCGAACGGAAAGGCCCUGCUUUUGUGGGGUGCUCGAGUGGCGAACGGGUGAGUAACACGUGAGUAACCUGCCCUUGACUUUGGGAUAACUUCAGGAAACUGGGGCUAAUACCGGAUAGGAGCUCCUGCUGCAUGGUGGGGGUUGGAAAGUUUCGGCGGUUGGGGAUGGACUCGCGGCUUAUCAGCUUGUUGGUGGGGUAGUGGCUUACCAAGGCUUUGACGGGUAGCCGGCCUGAGGGGGUGACCGGCCACAUUGGGACUGAGAUACGGCCCAGACUCCUACGGGAGGCAGCAGUGGGGAAUAUUGCACAAUGGGCGGAAGCCUGAUGCAGCAACGCCGCGUGCGGGAUGACGGCCUUCGGGUUGUAAACCGCUUUCGCCUGUGACGAAGCGUGAGUGACGGUAAUGGGUAAAGAAGCACCGGCUAACUACGUGCCAGCAGCCGCGGUGAUACGUAGGGUGCGAGCGUUGUCCGGAUUUAUUGGGCGUAAAGGGCUCGUAGGUGGUUGAUCGCGUCGGAAGUGUAAUCUUGGGGCUUAACCCUGAGCGUGCUUUCGAUACGGGUUGACUUGAGGAAGGUAGGGGAGAAUGGAAUUCCUGGUGGAGCGGUGGAAUGCGCAGAUAUCAGGAGGAACACCAGUGGCGAAGGCGGUUCUCUGGGCCUUUCCUGACGCUGAGGAGCGAAAGCGUGGGGAGCGAACAGGCUUAGAUACCCUGGUAGUCCACGCUGUAAACGGUGGGUACUAGGUGUGGGGUCCAUUCCACGGGUUCCGUGCCGUAGCUAACGCUUUGAGUACCCCGCCUGGGGAGUACGGCCGCAAGGCUAAAACUCAAAGGAAUUGACGGGGCCCCGCACAAGCGGCGGAGCAUGCGGAUUAAUUCGAUGCAACGCGUAGAACCUUACCUGGGUUUGACAUGGAUCGGGAGUGCUCAGAGAUGGGUGUGCCUCUUUUGGGGUCGGUUCACAGGUGGUGCAUGGCUGUCGUCAGCUCGUGUCGUGAGAUGUUGGGUUAAGUCCCGCAACGAGCGCAACCCUUGUUCACUGUUGCCAGCACGUUAUGGUGGGGACUCAGUGGAGACCGCCGGGGUCAACUCGGAGGAAGGUGGGGAUGACGUCAAGUCAUCAUGCCCCUUAUGUCCAGGGCUUCACGCAUGCUACAAUGGCUGGUACAGAGAGUGGCGAGCCUGUGAGGGUGAGCGAAUCUCGGAAAGCCGGUCUCAGCUCGGAUUGGGGUCUGCAACUCGACCUCAUGAAGUCGGAGUCGCUAGUAAUCGCAGAUCAGCAACGCUGCGGUGAAUACGUUCCCGGGGCU
rnacentral:rRNA from 1 species